GGGUCAGCAGGUCGGUCGUGCCAAUGGUAUGCACUGGCCUUGCUGAUUCCUCCCUCUUGAUGAGCCGUAAUGCCAUUAAUUUGGUGUUGCGGGGAAUCAGGACUGUUACUUUGAAAAAAUUAGAGUGUUUAAAGCAGGCAUCCGCUUGAAUACAUUAGCAUGGAAUAACAGAAUAAGACU
rnacentral:rRNA from 1 species